rnacentral:rRNA from 1 species
CCUACGGGUGGCAGCAGUGGGGAAUAUUUCACAAUUUUUUCCCCCCUGCUGCCGCGCCGCCGCGUGAGUGAAGAAGUAAUUCGUUACGUAAAGCUCUAUCAGCAGGGAAGAAAAUGACGGUACCUGAGUAAGAAGCCCCGGCUAACUAACUGCCAACAGCCGCGGUAAUAAGUAGGGGGCAAGCGUUAUCCGGAUUUACUGGGUGUAAAGGGAGCGUAGACGGGGCGCCAAGUCUGGAGUGAAAUGCCGCAGCUUAACUGCGGAACUGCUUUGGAAACUGGCGAACUAGAGUGCGGGAGGGGGAAGCGGAAUUCCUAGUGUAGCGGUGAAAUGCGUAGAUAUUAGGAGGAACACCGGUGGCGAAGGCGGCUUACUGGACCGUAACUGACGUUGAGGCUCGAAAGCGUGGGGAGCAAACAGGAUUAGAUACCCCGGUAGUC